AGUGAACGCUGGCGGUAGGCCUAACACAUGCAAGUCGAACGGCAGCACAGUAAGAGCUUGCUCUUACGGGUGGCGAGUGGCGGACGGGUGAGGAAUACAUCGGAAUCUACUUUUUCGUGGGGGAUAACGUAGGGAAACUUACGCUAAUACCGCAUACGACCUACGGGUGAAAGCAGGGGAUCUUCGGACCUUGCGCGAUUGAAUGAGCCGAUGUCGGAUUAGCUAGUUGGCGGGGUAAAGGCCCACCAAGGCGACGAUCCGUAGCUGGUCUGAGAGGAUGAUCACCACACUGGGAAUGAGGAACGGUCCCGGCUCCUAAGGGGGGGAGGAGUGGGGAAAUUUUGGAAAAGGGGGGAAGGCUGAAUCAGCCCAGCCCGGGUGGGGAAGAAGGGCUUCGGGUUUUAAAACCCUUUUUUUUGGGAAAAAAAAACGGGAGGUUAAUUCCCCGCGUUUCGGCGGGUCCCAAAAAAAAAAGCACCGGCAAAUUCGGG
rnacentral:rRNA from 1 species